GGGGCUUGGGCCAGGACAGGCCGCACUGACAAGGUCUGCAGCGCCGGCAAAUACACCUCCAAAAGCUCCGAACCCCACCUUUGUCUGCCGCUUGUGAGAAGAAACAGAGUGAAAUCUGAGGGAAGCCUUCAUCCCUUUGGAGACUCUAUCACACGCUCAGCCACCUUUGAGGGCGUGCACAAGUUAUGUAAGGUUUUGGAGAGAUGGAUGGUGGCAGAGCUGUUGGACACCCUGUACUUCUGUAACAAUUGCCUUACAGCCUCUUCUGUCCAGGCAGUCUCUUCCCUAGGAAAGGACUUGCUUUAG
rnacentral:lncRNA from 1 species